GAUGAACGCUGGCGGCGUGCCUAAUACAUGCAAGUCGAGCGAGCGGACGAGAAGCUUGCUUCUCUGAUGUUAGCGGCGGACGGGUGAGUAACACGUGGAUAACCUACCUAUAAGACUGGGAUAACUUCGGGAAACCGUAGCUAAUACCGGAUAAUAUUUUGAACCGCAUGGUUCAAAAGUGAAAGACGGUCUUGCUGUCACUUAUAGAUGGAUCCGCGCUGCAUUAGCUAGUUGGUAAGGUAACGGCUUACCAAGGCAACGAUGCAUAGCCGACCUGAGAGGGUGAUCGGCCACACUGGAACUGAGACACGGUCCAGACUCCUACGGGAGGCAGCAGUAGGGAAUCUUCCGCAAAGGGCGAAAGCCUGACGGAGCAACGCCGCGUGAGUGAUGAAGGUCUUCGGAUCGUAAAACUCUGUUAUUAGGGAAGAACAUAUGUGUAAGUAACUGUGCACAUCUUGACGGUACCUAAUCAGAAAGCCACGGCUAACUACGUG
rnacentral:rRNA from 1 species